rnacentral:rRNA from 1 species
AGCGAACGCUGGCGGCAGGCCUAACACAUGCAAGUCGAACGAACCUUUCGGGGUUAGUGGCGGACGGGUGAGUAACACGUGGGAACGUGCCUUUAGGUUCGGAAUAACUCAGGGAAACUUGUGCUAAUACCGAAUGUGCCCUUCGGGGGAAAGAUUAAUCGCCUUUAGAGCGGCCCGCGUCUGAUUAGCUAGUUGGUUGAGGUAAUGGCUCACCAAGGCGACGAUCAGUAGCUGGUCUGAGAGGAUGAUCAGCCACAUUGGGACUGAGACACGGCCCAAACUCCUACGGGAGGCAGCAGUGGGGAAUCUCGCGCAAUGGGCGAAAGCCUGACGCAGCCAUGCCGCGUGAAUGAUGAAGGUCUUAGGAUUGUAAAAUUCUUUCACCGGGGACGAUAAUGACGGUACCCGGAGAAGAAGCCCCGGCUAACUUCGUG